UGUUUGGACACAAUGGAGGAGAUCAGGAAUGAAUGGGCAGGCUAUCGAGCCAGCAGUGCAAUGUUCCACACCUGAAGAAGAGAAGACUUUUGUGGCUACCAUCACAUCAUUUUCCCUUAUCCUCAGUCACACAGAUACUUUCAGCAGACAGCCUUCUCACUCGCACCUUCAACUGAUGACUCGGACAUUGUGGAGAUCACAGUAUUUGAGGAGAAAUUAAUUUGUAAUUGAAGCAACUGUUGAUAUUUAGUGUAGCCAUUUGACUGUACA